GGCGCGCUUAAUGCAUGCAAGUCGAGCGAUGAUGCUCUUUCGGGGGACACAUCAGCGGCAGACGGGUGAGUAACACGUAGGUAACCUACCCCAGAGACAGGGAUAGCCCGAGGAAACGAGGGCUAAUACCGGAUGACCUCCGGAAGGAGGAAAGGCUCAGGCGCUCUGGGAGGGGCUUGCGGCCCAUCAGCUAGUUGGUAGGGUAAAGGCCUACCAAGGCGAAGACGGGUAGGGGGUGUGAGAGCACGGCCCCCCACAAUGGGACUGAAACACGGCCCAUACUCCUACGGGAGGCAGCAGCAGGGAAUAUUGCACAAUAGGCGAAAGCCUGAUGCAGCGACGCCGCGUGAGUGAAGAAGGCCUUCGGGUCGUAAAGCUCUUUUGUAGGGGAAGAGGAAGGACGGUACCCUAAGAAGAAGCGUCGGCUAACUACGUGCCAGCAGCCGCGGUAAGACGUAGGACGCGAGCGUUAUCCGGAAUUACUGGGCGUAAAGGGCCAGCAGGCGGCUUGGUAAGUUGUGCGUGAAAGCCUCGUGCUCAACGCGAGGAAGCCGGACAAUACUGUCAAGCUAGAGGGCAUCAGAGGGGAGUGGAAUUCCCGGAGUAGCGGUAAAAUGCGCAGAUAUCGGGAGGAACACCGAUGGCGAAGGCAGCUCCCUGGGAUGCACCUGACGCUAAGAGGCGAAAGCUAGGGGAGCGAACAGGAUUAGAGACCCUGGUAGUCCUAGCUGUAAACGCUGGGUGCUAGGUGUGGGACGUAGAAGUUCCGUGCCGGAGCAAACGCGAUAAGCACCCCGCCU
rnacentral:rRNA from 1 species